rnacentral:tRNA from 1 species
GGAGCUUUGGCACAGUGGUAGAGCAUCUGCUGAGCAUGUAGAAGGUCCCAGGUUCAAUUCCUGGCAGCUCCA